GACGGGGCCCGCACAAGCGGUGGAGCAUGUGGUUAAUUCGAAGCAACGCGAAGAACCUUACCAGGUCUUGACAUCCCCUGACAACCCAAGAGAUUGGGCGUUCCCCCUUCGGGGGACAGGGUGACAGGUGGUGCAUGGUUGUCGUCAGCUCGUGUCGUGAGAUGUUGGGUUAAGUCCCGCAACGAGCGCAACCCUCGCCUCUAGUUGCCAGCAUUCGGUUGGGCACUCUAGAGGGACUGCCGGCGACAAGUCGGAGGAAGGUAGGGAUGACGUCAAAUCAUCAUGCCCCUUAUGACCUGGGCUACACACGUGCUACAAUGGGCGGUACAAAGGGCUGCGAACCCGCGAGGUGGAGCUAAUCCCAAAAAGCCGCUCUCAGUUCGGAUUGCAGGCUGCAACUCGCCUGCAUGAAGCCGGAAUCGCUAGUAAUCGCGGAUCAGCAUGCCGCGGUGAAUACGUUCCCGGGCCUU
rnacentral:rRNA from 1 species